AUGAGAUGUGCGCUGGCGCUGGCGCUGCUCGACCUCCUCCCCUACCCCUGGUCGGCUCCUACCCGCUCCAGCACAUCUGGACCGGCGGACAAGGAGGCGCGACAGCAGCGCCGCCAGGAGGUCGGCGGCGAGGGUGUAGCCGGCGAAAAGAGGUACCAGAUCACGAGCACCAACAAGCACCUCAUCAUAGGGCGUGGGAUGGUCGACGGCGACGCCUCGCGGUGGGCCACCUUCGGCGAGCGCAAUGGCGGACUAGUGAGGGAGGCGCAAGAGCUCGUCGUGCUCUGCGAGGCGGAAGUCGACAUCCUCGUCUUUGACAGCGCCGGCAGGCAGUUGGACUACUGCAGCCCCCACACAAGCUACAUGGAAUUAGAUACUGCAAAGAGGAUUUCCGUUGAGGGCCUGGAAAGGUUCAGGGAAGUGAAAUAUUAUCUCAUUCUCAUUAUUGUCGACACGAGUGGGCACCAUAACCAGAAGGCUGCACUUUUUGAGGAAAUGCGUCAAGUUGCAGAAGCUCGUAGUCUUGCAUUGUUAUUGUUAUCCUCUUUUAUUGAGAUUUUCGCCGACCUUAUGGUUUUUCCACAGAAACGAGACCUGAUGAUAUUUGUGAUGGAUGGCAGCAUUGUUCAUGCUGCUUUUGAUUAG
rnacentral:rRNA from 1 species